CAGUAGCCGCGGUAAAACGGAGGGUGCAAGCGUUAAUCGGAAUUACUGGGCGUAAAGCGCACGCAGGCGGUUUGUUAAGUCAGAUGUGAAAUCCCCGAGCUUAACUUGGGAACUGCAUUUGAAACUGGCAAGCUAGAGUCUUGUAGAGGGGGGUAGAAUUCCAGGUGUAGCGGUGAAAUGCGUAGAGAUCUGGAGGAAUACCGGUGGCGAAGGCGGCCCCCUGGACAAAGACUGACGCUCAGGUGCGAAAGCGUGGGGAGCAAACAGGAUUAGAUACCCAGUAGUCCCUGUCUCUUAUACA
rnacentral:rRNA from 1 species